GGGAUUUACGAUUUUGGAUGGAACUCUAAAUUGGGGAUUUACGAAAUUGUAUGGACUCUCGAAGAAGUAGGGAUUUACGAUUUUGGAUGGAACUCUGAAUUGGGGAUCUAUGAAAUUGUAUUGACUCACGAAGAAGUAGGGAUUUACGAUUUUGGAUGGAAUUCUCAAUUGGGGAUUUAUGAAAUUGUAUGGACUCUCCAAGAAUAUAAGUUAUCCCUCUUAUCGUACGAAUCAAAUUGAAAUGGGGCAGAAGUUAUGGAACGACAUUCGUGCAGAGACUAAUAAGGUUCUAUUUUACCAAUCUCUUAUGACCGACACUAUUGGAUUCCGAAAUAAUGAAAAAAGAACUGCAACAUAAAACGGAAUUAAUGAAAAAAAUCAAGAAGGAAAAAAAUAAGAGUUUGCUCUUUAUGGGAGAAGUCCCACAACGAGAGUGAAGAGCAAUCGUUCGCUGAAAUGUACUUUAGGUAGACUUGGUGGUAGGUCCGUCUUAGUUAUGGAUGUUUGCGAUCUCACAACCAUCCGUACAUUUAGAUGUUUUUAUCCCAACGGAAGACUUAGGUUCACUGUGGGUUCCAGCAUCCCGGAGUCUUCUGCCACUCUGAUAAGAGAGUUGGACGUUGCAGUUGGGAUUGAAAAAAAACUGGCGAGUCGUGACAAGAUACUAAAUACUAA